rnacentral:rRNA from 1 species
AUUGAACGCUGGCGGCGUGCCUAACACAUGCAAGUCGAGCGAAUAAAGUUCCUUCGGGAACGGAUUUAGCGGCGGACGGGUGAGUAACACGUGGGCAACCUGCCUCAUAGAGGGGAAUAGCCUUCCGAAAGGGAGAUUAAUACCGCAUAAGAUUGUAGUAUCGCAUGGUACAGCAAUUAAAGGAGCAAUCCGCUAUGAGAUGGGCCCGCGGCGCAUUAGCUAGUUGGUGAGGUAACGGCUCACCAAGGCGACGAUGCGUAGCCGACCUGAGAGGGUGGUCGGCCACAUUGGGACUGAGACACGGCCCAGACUCCUACGGGAGGCAGCAGUGGGGAAUAUUGCACAAUGGGGGAAACCCUGAUGCAGCAACGCCGCGUGAGUGAUGACGGCCUUCGGGUUGUAAAGCUCUGUCUUUAGGGACGAUAAUGACGGUACCUAAGGAGGAAGCCACGGCUAACUACGUGCCAGCCGCCGCCGUAA